GCCUUGAUAGCUCAGUUGGCUAGAGCGUUGGUCUCAUACGGAGUGCGCCUGGGUACGAUUCCCGAGGCGCCCACUAACCCUAACCCCCGUCAUCAUCCUUGGGAUAUCCAGAGGUCACGGGUUCGAGCCCCGUUCGAGGCA
rnacentral:tRNA from 1 species